rnacentral:lncRNA from 1 species
GUUGUUGCAUGUGCAUUCCCAUCCAAUUCAAUAACGUAAGGAAGACUUGAAGGUUAAAAAAGUGCUAUCACAGUUAACCUAGGGCAUUGAGAAUCAUAGUUUAUUGAAAGAAGCAAUUGGAAAUCAAUUUGAAUGCAAGUGUUUCAUGUGUGGAGAAGAUCCCCCUAGUUACCCCAUAUCUCAUCAAAUCACCUAAUUUUGUCUAAGAAUCUGUUUUCAUUGUUCUUGUUUUAAUUUAAUUAUUUUCGUCCAAAAUCAAUCCCACCUUAUUUCUUUGAGUCAUAUUAACUAGAACUUGUCUUAGAAUAUGUUUUUAGGUGUUUUAGGUCAUUAGAAAACCAAAAUUCGUCCAAGUUGUGUUAGAGUCCCAAAACUGCCCAGAAAGUGGUUUUUAGGCAGUUCUUUC